rnacentral:rRNA from 1 species
UACAGAGGGGGCGAAGCGUUGUUCGGAAUUACUGGGCGUAAAGGGCGCGUAGGCGGCCUUCUAAGUCGAACGUGAAAUCCCUGGGCUCAACCCAGGAACUGCGUCCGAUACUGGGAGGCUUGAAUCCGGGAGAGGGAUGCGGAAUUCCAGGUGUAGCGGUGAAAUGCGUAGAUAUCUGGAGGAACACCGGUGGCGAAGGCGGCAUCCUGGACCGGUAUUGACGCUGAGGCGCGAAAGCCAGGGGAGCGAACGGG